CAGGAAUCUUGAACCUCAGAACAGAUGAAGUUCAUGACAGCUUGAAGGAACAAAAAAGCAGCAGGCUCAGCUGCCAGCAUAGCAGCUUUCUAAGAUAGAGAGAACCAGCAAAACAAUGUUUGACAGGAACAUGAGUUCCAGCAAGUACAUUUCUUCAGGCAUCAUUCAACUCUAAAGUACGGAACAAAUAACAAGCCAGCAAACCAAGGCUGAAUGUAAAACACAGUCAAAACGAUUUGCUGCUUGGCAGAUUAUAAUGGCACUUCCCAGAUCUGUCUGUAAUUAGAGCCCCAAGCUAUGGUACUUUUGUGUGAGAAGCUAAAAAUGGGUUUGCACCACCAAGUUUACAGAGCUCAAAGGGAAACUGAAGUUCGUAAAGUGAAAAGUCUUCAAGGCCAAUGGACAAUGAAAGCCACAGCCAGAAUUGUAACUGUUCUCUGUUCAACUCUCAUUUCAAAAGUAGCAUCCACCAAAUGUGAAGCAAAACUGGAUCUUCUCAUUUGUGAUUAAGACACAACACCUCCACAUUACAUAACACCACUAUUUUUCCCUUGAUUCAUUAUUUC
rnacentral:lncRNA from 1 species